UGGGGAAUAUUGCACAAUGGGCGGAAGCCUGAUGCAGCGACGCCGCGUGGGGGAUGAAGGCCUUCGGGUUGUAAACUCCUUUCGACAGGGACGAAGCUUUUGUGACGGUACCUGUAUAAGAAGCACCGGCUAACUACGUGCCAGCAGCCGCGGUAAUACGUAGGGUGCGAGCGUUGUCCGGAAUUACUGGGCGUAAAGAGCUCGUAGGUGGUUUGUCGCGUCGUCUGUGAAAUUCCGGGGCUUAACUCCGGGCGUGCAGGCGAUACGGGCUGACCUGAGUGCUGUAGGGGAGACUGGAAUUCCUGGUGUAGCGGUGAAAUGCGCAGAUAUCAGGAGGAACACCGAUGGCGAAGGCAGGUCUCUGGGCAGUAACUGACGCUGAGGAGCGAAAGCAUGGGUAGCGAACAGGAUUAGAUACCCUGGUAGUCCAUGCCGUNNCGGUGGGCGCUAGGUGUAGGGGGCUUCCACGUCUUCUGUGCCGUAGCUAACGCAUUAAGCGCCCCGCCUGGGGAGUACGGCCGCAAGGCUA
rnacentral:rRNA from 1 species